rnacentral:lncRNA from 1 species
GUCAAAGUUGUAACGUUAUCCAGUGAAUAUAGUGCUGAUUUGUGAUUUUACAUUUGAUGUAACCAUGCGAACCUAUAAAAGAAAAACAGAGCGAGGAAAAACACCUGCUGACGUUAUGGAACGAGCUGUGCGUGCUCAUAUUUCCAGCAACAAUUUACUAAUAAACUUAAGACCAUUUCUUAAAGCUGGCGACAGAAAAACAAAUACCAAA